UCGAAGCAGAGCUCUCUCUCAAAAUCCCUAAGCUCCGAACAGAAAACAAAGCGAAAUCGCGUUUUACUUCUACAAUUCUAUCUGUCAAAAUCCCCAAGCUUUGAAAGGAAAACAGAUCGAAAUCGCAUUUAACUUCUGCAAUUCGAUCCUUUACAAUGCCUAGAAACGUCAAUUCUGUCCUCCACACCAGCAAUCUCUUCGCAGAUUUCAGCUAGAUAAACAAGGGGCAUAUACACCGAUUGCAGCUCCUAACCGAACCGAACCCUAGCUCUUCUCUCUGUCUUCUCCAAUAUUUCUCUCGUCUUCGUCAGAUCUACCGUCUCUCUCUCUCUCUCUCUCUCUCUGUCUCCAAUCAUCAGAUCCUCAAAAGACAGUAAUAUUGGAAAGGGUAGAGCAUUUUGCUCAGUCCGUUUCUGUAUACGAAGAUCAAAUAUUUCAAAAAAGAGCUCGUAUUCAGCAGUUGGUGCUAGGUAUCACAGAGUUCAUGAUAGCAGAACUGAUUUACUUGCAAUGGAUGGAUCCAAACUAGCCAAUUUAUCUUUACAUCAAUUCAACUGGAACGACUCGUGAUGAUGGUGAAACACUUUUCACAAGCAGCAGUUGCAGCUCAAGCUGGUGCUUCAGUUAUCUAGAUUUUUGUUGGUUAUUCUAGUGGAAUUAUAUCCUAGAGCAAUUGAUAAGGAAAAGGCAAGAGAACUAAAAGAUACAGAGGUAGAAUUGCAGCUCAAUAUCAAAGACAAAUCAGAUGAGUUUAGAUUGCCUACAGAAGAGGCACUUCUUCAUUAAUUCUACUUCAAAGUUCUCCUGGUUCAUUUUGAAUUUGGAAACUUAAGGCUCUUAUGAUUUUCCUUUAGGAGCUUCAAGAAGAGGCACAGUGACCACCAGAUCUUCCAAAAUCUUCAGCACAGAAUAAAAGGAUGUUUCCAGUUGCAGAGCUUGCAGAACUUAUUAAAAUGUUCGAAAAUCCAUGACCCACUUGCUUGGACAAACACUCUAAAGGUGAAAAAAGACUGGCUUUAUUCUAAUCAUACUAUUAUUCUUUAAUUUGUAAUAGCUUGGGUUGGGUCAAAAUGCUGCUUUGUUGAUCAUAAUAAUUUUUACAAUCUAUCACAUAGACCAUUUAUGCUUUUGAUAGUAAGCAUUUAUUUUAUGGUCUGCCACCGUUUAGAUUUCCAAAAGGCAUUGUUCUGGUAAUUGUGUAAAUACAUUCUAAGAUUAGUUAAUCAAAUGUCGGGAUUGAAGUACAGCCAUAGUUGUAUUGUCAUCUAGCAACAAAACAAGUCAGUAGACCAAAAUGAAAUAGAAAUAAAAUGAGUUGGGACAAAUAACUAAAUUGGAGUAGAACUACCUCAGAUUGAAUCUUGCUUAUGAAAUGCAUGUUAGCUAAAUUAGCAUAUUUUCUCAAUGCAUAUUAGCUUUUGCAGUGGAAUGGCUUAUAGUUCCUUUUGAAGGUAUUAAAAAUUACUCCUAGUGCUCAUUAAAAAUGAUAAAUCUGAGUUAGUGAGAGUGAUGGAAAAAGCUAAAGGGAGAGUUCUUUCAUAGGCUUUAGUGUGCAAAGAUUUUACAAGAGUUAAUUAGGAGGAUCUUUGUAGAGAUUGGCUUUGAAAGUUCUAC